CCGAGUUAGGGUCUUCUUGGCCCGACCUCCAACCCUUUGUUUAUUAUACCAUGUUGCUUUGGUGGGCCUGCCUUUCGGGGCUGCCGGGGGCAUCACUGCCCCUGACCCGUGCCUGCCAGGAGCCUUCUUAAAUUCAGUCUUUAACUGUGCUGUCUGAGUCCCAGUAUCAAAAUAUAAA
rnacentral:misc_RNA from 1 species